UGCAGGCUGCAACUCGCCUGCAUGAAGUCGGAGUUGCUAGUAACCGCAGGUCAGCCACACUGCGGUGAAUACGUUCUCGGGUCUUGUACACACCGCCCGUCAAGUCAUGGAAGCGGGUCACGCCCAAAGUCGGGAGGCUAACCGCAAGGAGGCUACCGCCAAAGGCAGGGCCGGUGACUGGGACUAAGUCGUAACAAGGUAGCUGUAGCGGAAGCUGCGGCUGGAUCACCUCCUUU
rnacentral:rRNA from 1 species